GCAGGCGGGCGGAGGGAGCGGGGCGGGGUUUCCUGCUCGCUCCGAGGCCGAGACCAGCGGGGGCGUCGUCUGCGCGUUCUUGGGGCAGCAGUUCAAAACAAGAGGAUGCUAGUAGGCUUGACAGUUAUAGGAGGAGGUAUGAAGUGACUUUUAGUUCAAAGCAAAGCAUCACAUCGGCAGAACCAGAGCAGUGCAAGACCUAGACUGCGUUCCAGUCUACAUUUGAAAUCUCCAGAUUCCCUGGAACAACAGGUUCAAACUCUGGCAAGCAGUGACUCAGCUCUUCAGCUUCCCAUGGCAGCUCGCUGAAGACUACUGGCUGCUUUUCAGCUACAAAUGACAGUAAGCCAUUAGUUCUGGAUAACCCUGUUAAGCACCAUGCACAAUGUGGGCUCCUCCUCCUGCUCUAUGCACAAAAUUAAAUCAGCACCAACUACCAGGCACAAAGUUCUCUGACAGCUGAUCCAAGACAAAUGUUUAAGAAAAUGUACUGCUCCUGAAAGUAACUGUACUGGGUUGCCUAAUUUUUCUAGCCAUGCAAUUUGUGAAAUACAAGAUCUUAGUGUUGUAUUUACCUAAUUUCAAACAAUUCCCUCCCUCCAUCCCUGACAAAAAAAUUCUAUGUUACUGAAUAUUAACUACUAAAAGAAGGAGAUUUGGCAAUUCUUAAGUCAUUUAUAUUCAGAAACAGUGUCUAGAGCAGUGAUAGUAAAGGCAUGUCCCACAACCCAAUUCUAUUGCUAUGCAGUAAGCAAGAACAAACUAACGUGAAGAUAUUGCCCAUUAUUCAACAGCAGGAAGGAUGGCUCUAUACCAUGGUAUCAGGCCUUGCUGGAAUAUGCUCAUGCGUACUACUGACUUCCACCUGCUUUUGUGGAACAUGACUCUGCUAACCAAUACCGAAAAAUCAGUCUUCGAUUUUCCAGAGUUAAUAUACAACAACAAAUACUUGGAGGAAUGAGAAUAAAAGAAGUUAUGACACUCAUGCUCUAAAUCAUGUUACUUUUAAUACUGUUAUGCUUCUCCCCACCCUGUCAGUUCUGGCAUUAAAGGGUCAAUAUUCUCUUUAGCCUCUAGAAUUAGAGAAGAACAUGUUAUAUCAUUUCAAAGAUUAGAUGGUGGUGUACAACAUUGGUUCUAAUUCUACAAGUGCAGGAUAACAAUCAUUAAAAUCAAGUCAGAACUGAAGUGUGAGAGUGUUUUUGGAGGUAGUAACAAGUAUGAAUGGUAAUCAGAAUAAUACCAUUUUAACUUCCUUUUUCUUCCUGUGAUUGAAUUCCGUAUUUUCCUAGGGGAUAUAACAUUUGUUUGCAGCCCUAAUGGUUAACCAAAUAUUGGACAUGAAUGAUGUUGUUGAUUACUUAGAAUCCAAGUUAUUUGGAUCCCUGAAUCUAGUAUCAUGUAAUUUCUUGCAUCGUAGUACACCUAAACAUGGGAGAUUUCUAUAUUUCAUUAUAGAUUUACAUUAGUAAAUACUUUACAGAAAGCCAUGUUACUAACC